rnacentral:rRNA from 1 species
CGGGUACUCGAGUGGCGAACGGGUGAGUAACACGUGGGUGAUCUGCCUUGCACUUCGGGAUAAGCUUGGGAAACUGGGUCUAAUACCGGAUAGGACAGCUGUUUAGUGUCAGUUGUGGAAAGUUUUUUCGGUGCAAGAUGAGCUCGCGGCCUAUCAGCUUGUUGGUGGGGUAAUGGCCUACCAAGGUGUCGACGGGUAGCCGGCCUGAGAGGGUGUACGGCCACAUUGGGACUGAGAUACGGCCCAG